CUUGCUUAUCGGAGGUCAAGAACUGAAAGAAUGACCCGUGGAAAUCAGCGAGAGUUAGCACGAGCCAAAAAUAUGAAAAAGACUGUUAAAAAGUCUGCAGCUGAACAAGACAGCAAUAAGGGUCUUUCAUUAGAACAACGAAAAGCACGGUUAUAUGCACAUAUUUUCUGUACUUAAUUUAAUUAUCAUUGAGAAUUACGUUAAAAAGCUAGAUAACGUUAGAUUCGUUUUAAUAGGAUUUUUGAAUGAGAUGCAGAACGAAUGAGGGAGAAACAACUAAAGAAACAACAAGAGCAGGAAGAAAAAGUAAAGCAGGGUGCGAGAUAAUCCCUACUAUUGCAAAAUGUAAAUUGUUUGACUGAAUUCAAGAAUAAAAUUUUAAGUAUGGUUUUAAAAUUCUUGAUUCUAAAACAUCAAGGCUAUGCUUAAUGUGAGUGCAUAAAGAAUUCAUAGUGUUUUUAAUUAUAGAAGAUAUCUUCAGACUGUAUAAUGCAAUAUAUAUUAUAAAACUAGGUACAAGUAAUCAUGUUCGCAAAAUAUUAAUAGUCAGUGUGUAUAAAAAUAUUGUUAUCUACAUUGUAAUGGUUAAAGAAAAUGCACAUUUGACUGGUUCACCUAGAUAUAAGGACAUUAAUUAAUUAAGUAUAAGAGUAUUUAUAGUACUAAUUUUUAAUUUGUAAAUUCGAGUUUUCAGUUAUUUAAUAUGAUGUAUAAGUGAUUCAUAAAUUGUACUACGUGAAGGAGACAUACAUUGUCAUUUUGUUUGGCUCAUAAUAAAUUGUUCAAUUUUAAAAUAAAUAUUUUAGAAUUUCUUGUCUCUAUACUACAUUAAUAUUAGUAAUUCUAUUUGAUUAUCUUUAAUACAUUAUAUUAUACAGAGCAGAUCAUUCAAAUAAUUGGUAUUAAUAUCAACAGGUAUACCAUAUAUUUUUAUUAUGUGCGUUUGUUUGUAUUUAUUGUACUUUUGUAUUAAAGUGAAAUUCUAAUCUUUUAUCAAUGAAAUUUCUGUAUUAAUGGAAGUUUCAAUAAGUUUAAGAUAGAAUAUAUAUGGAAUUUACAAAGAAAGAAACAGUAUUAACUGACCAUUACCUACAUUUUAUUGCACUUUCCCAGAGACAGUACAUAUUCAACAUAUUUAUUUAUUACUUGAAAAGCCUAAUGUAAAUUACAAACAUUUGGAAUAUUUAAAACGGAUAUAUGAAACAGCGAUAAAAGAAUGUGAAAUUUUCUAAUAAUUCAUAUGUAAUGUUUGCCGAAAGAUAAAAAUCUUAAUAAUAAGAUAUAUAAAAAAAAAAAAGAAAAUGAUAAUAUGUUGUACAAUAAGCACGUUAUAUAGCCUCUAAAGACUAAAAUCCUUAUAAAAUAGAGUAUAAUUAAAAACCAUUUUCGACUUAUUUCUAAAAAAACUAAAAGAAUCCAAAAUUUGUAUUUUGUUUACCACUAAAUUGUGUUUGUUAGCUCACUAAUACAUUUACAAGCAGAGGAUUUCCUCUCUUAUUAAUCGUUUAUAGAUUAUCAAACUUUUCAUAUAUAAGGAACCGUAUUAUAUAUUGAGCAUUUAUUUAAUUAUACUAUCUGUUCCAAAGCAUAACUAUAAAUUUUCAUCUGAUACAUUUGUAUUAAGCGAAGAACGAAAAUAAUUGAAUUAAGAAUUAGUUUGUAUGAAAGAUUUUCGAAACAAUGAUAAUGAUAUAAAUGCUGUAUUACAUUCUAUUUUAGAUCAAUUUCAAUGUACGUAAUAUAAAACGAAUAAAUUUGAGUAUAUAUGUAUAUAAAUUUGCAGAUUAUAAGCAAUACAUAUCAUAAAUAUAGGAAUACUUUUUUUAUCUUAAUGUUGCCUCCAUUUUACUGGAAAGAACAUAUUUUACCAGAUAAUUGAAUUUUUCUGUAAAUAAGUUUCGUAAAUUAAAUACGAACUGUGAUUUACAAAUAGUUCGGCGUUUUUAACAAUAAGUAAAAGAAAUAUUCUUCACACACAUUUAAACAAAGAUGUAGUAUAGUAGAAGCAAAAAUUAUAUUGUAUUAUUAUCGAUAUAUCAAAUAGUAGAAUUUAUCUAUUAUUAAUAUCCUAAUUUGCAGCAACUAAAAUAUGUCUACCGUAUGAGAGAAUUUUCUUCGCCUAAAUAUUUAAACUUUCCAAAAUUCAAUAUGAAAAUAUGGAAUGAUUAGGCAUUAAACAAUAUUAACUUGAAUAUUUUUUAGUAAUUAAAUAUGGAUCACAUAUUCUGCUUGAUAAAUAGGUAUUUUUAUAAGAUUCUUGACACCUAAUUAUAAGUAAAUACAGAAUUAUCUUUUAUAAAACUUUUAACAAAUGGAAUAUUGUUAUACGAGUUAAGAAUAAUGUCCGAAAUUAUUAGAAAAUGAUAAAACUGUGUAAAUCUGAUAAAUUUCUAAGAUAUAAGCUUAAUUUUAUCCAGUUUUUCAAGUCAUAUUUGUAAUCGGAUACUAAUGAAUCGAUUUGCUUGUCCAUAGUAAUGUUUGUAGGGGAAUAAAAAUUGUAAUUAAUCAAAUAUCAAAAGUUACAUAUCUUACCGAGUUAGACGAAAGAAUACAUUCAUAAUUAAGAUUAAGAUUCAUACUUAAGACUGUAUUAAUGUAAUAGAAUCUCGAUUAUAAAUUUUAACAUAUUGAUUGUGUCUUAUAUAAGAAUAUCUUAAUAAUCCAAUGCAAAACAUUACUAGUAGAAUUAUGACCUUCGAUUAAAGUUUUUAAAUGAAUAUAAUGUCAUUAAUUUCGAACAGGUAUAUAAGGGUGUAAACAACAACAGUUUUUUUAAAGAUCUUAUCUAUUCAGUGAAAACGCUUAUUUAUCCGCUAGAAAAUACCUAAGACAUGUAAUUAAGUUACGAAAACUAUCACAGAGGCCGUAACGUGUUAUAGCAUACAAUUGAAUAUGCUGCAAAUUAUGUUAUUUAUCAAUGUACAUUUAAUAUUGCAUACCGAAUACGCAACUAGAUCUAGCCAUAAUUUUGAAAUUAGUUUAAAAAAUAUAUUAACUUUGAUUUUGUAAAAAUCAUUGCAUGGAAAGUACAAAAGCACUGUGAUAUUUCUUUCCUUGUAUUUCAUAUGAUAAGUUGUAUAAAGUUAAAGUAUUUUGUAAACGAGUCAACUUUUGCCCUAUUGUCUUUUUUCUUUUCUUUUUUUUUUAAUAAAGAAUAAAAAGAUACAUUGAUAGGUAUAUAAAAGAAUGUAUAGUCUCAUUUAGUCAAGGAAACAGAGAUGACCCUAAAAUUUCCAAGAUAUUUCCACUUCUUCCAGAGUGAACACAUACAGCAACAGGUCAUGCACCAUUCGAAGCUAUUCAAUUUUGUUUUGUGAAAUAUUUUUCUGUCUCUUGCCAUUUCAGUCACACUCUGGCCAGGAAGACACCCUGUAUAUUUAUGUUUGACAUAUUAUUCAUGUUUUGCACUAAAUUAUUAAUAUAUCCUAUCUACAUCGUAAAUCUUAAUAACAGUAUAAAUAUUAAGGACUUAAUAGCAAACCGUAGAUAGUGUUGUACACAAUUGUAUUCCUGUAGAUAUAUUUCAAAAUCGAUUUCGCUUCUAAAGAGUUAAUUACUGAAUAUAACAUAGAUAUUGUAAUAUUUUUACAAAUAUUUAAUACAUAUAUAGAGUCGUUUUUAUUAUACUAAGAGUGCUUAAUAUUAUAUGGUAUAAAUAUCCUGUUUACAUCUAUUUCGAAGACAUAUCAUUGUCGUAUGCCUUUCUCAGUUCAUACGAUACAAUAUAAAGUGCAUAGUGUACUUGGAAACUUGACAAAAAUUUGUCCCUCUGUUAAAAUUACAGUAAUAAUAAAUGCUAAUUGAGCUUAACUAUUGGAAUAAUAUACUAUUAAAACAUUGUGUUUGUAAUAUUAGCACCAUAACUGUAUGUAUCAUUUUGUAGACGAGUUGUGCACUCAGAGUUAAUACAAUUAAAGUGAGUUUACUACGUAUACCUUUGAAAUACGUUAGAAGUAGAACUAUAAUGUAAUAAUGUAUCCAAAAUUGCACGUUACAAAGUUUCCUAAAUAUAUAAUAAAACUUGAGAGUAUGGAAAACACAUAAAAUUUUGUACAUAAGAUAGUUGAAAGUAGCGCGAUAGGGGAAGAAAAUUAUGAUUCUUUAGAAAAAGAAAAAGAAUAAAAAGAGAAAAAGAAGAAAAAAGAAAAGAGAAAAAAUGAAGAGAAGAAAAAAGAAGAAGAACGUAAAUACGGGAAUGUUUUAAAAUAUCAGCACAACUCCAAUAUCAGAAUGUACGUACAUUUUACACGUUUCGUAUUAGUAUGUUUAAAAAAUACAUAUAAUACAUUUAUAGCCAAGUAACAUUUGGGGUUUUUGAGAUAAAAAUUGUCUAAUGGAAAAUUGGUUGGGAAUAUUAAAAAUGUUGUUUCUAAAUAAAGUAGUGGAGUUAUUAGAGAAUGUGAGACAUCACUUUAUAAGUAUCAAUGAACAUUGUAAUAUCUGCGCUAAAACUUUAUUACAUUAAUUUAUGAAAGAAACACAACAACAAAAUGUCAUAUGGUAUAAUUUAGGCGAAAAGAUGUCUUUAUUGUUUAAGUAAAAAGUGAAAAUGGAAAGAAAUAUGUAUAUAUAUUUUUUAAUCACAGCUGAUAAACACAUUAAUUAUAUAAUGUUUCUGUCUUGCUUGUCCGAACAUUGAGCUUUUUUGUCAAAUUAGCCAAAUAAGUUUGAAGAUACGUUACUGAUUUUUCGUUUUUGAUUCACGAGACUACAAUAUACAAUGUAUAGCAAUAUAGGAACGUUUUCCCACUAUAUAUCAUCAAUAUUAUUAAAAACCAAUAAAAGUUCAUAUUUCAAGCGUGACGCUACUCUGUUUAGCUGUAACAACAAUUUAAAAAGUAACCUUUCCUUCGUAGGUUGAAUAGUAAUUGCAGAGUAAUUUGCAAUAGUUUGAAGCUAUUAUUUUUGCGUAGCAUAUUAUUUUAAGUAUAUAUUUAUAAUAAUAUAAUAGGAAGAAACAAGUUUUAUUAAUAACUUCUUAUAUCUGUUCUGUUUAUAUGUACGUCGAUAUAUUUUUAUAAUUGCAUUUCACUUGUAUCCAAUUAUGUUGCAUAACGAUACUAUUGAGCGACGAUAGAAAAGACAUGGAAACAUAUGAUUUGAUGUAAUGAAAUGAAUAGGGUUUUAAUUGAAAUGAAUUAUAAUGUGAUAUUUAAUAUUGUAGAUGUUGCUGUAAAAGUAUCGUGGGAGAAGUGGAUAAAAGCAACAAAAGAUGAAAGGAGUAUGUGAAAGUUGAUUUUUCGUAAUAUUCCUUUUAAAGAUUGAGAGAACAUAUAGUGCAAGUUUGAGCGAUACAGUGAGCAUGUAAGCGCGAUGGAUGUGUCGAAGGUGUUGAUGGUGGUGGAGGUGGCGGUGGCGGUGGUGGAGGAGGUGGUGGCAUAUAUAGCCAUCCGGUACUAGUUGGCCAAACGGUACCUGGUGGAGAGGAAACCGGAAAUAACGAAUUCGUAUUAUUUCCGGCUGCUACGUGCGGCGUUGGUCCACCCUCUACUCACAUUACCUAAAGUACAGAAGUAAUGUAAUUCGUAUAAAUAUUAGAACAGCUAAUUGAAACUAUUACUAGGUGUUUAAUUUGUAUGAUUUGUAUGAUCUGUUUAAUUUGUAUAAUUUGUACGAUCUGUUUAAUUUGUUUAAAUAAAAUGGGCAGAGGAAGCACUACACGAGCAUAUCGCCAAGGAAUAUCUAUAGAAAUGGCUGAAGAAAUUAUAAAAAAUACCUAAGGCUGUCUAAAUAAGGGUACAUAAAUGCAAACACGAAACAACAAGGCUAGAACGUACGACAGUAAGGAAAAAGACGCAAGGCUCUAACCGGAAUUGAAUACUCGAAUGGAUAUGACGAAGAAGUUAGCGAUUUUUACAAUUAAUACAAUCGUACAAGGAGUACAAUUGGGUAAUACAUAUGGAUAAAAAGAACAAGAUCGUAGAAUCAGCAUCCGACAGAUAAUAUCAGAACACAAAUAUUGACUUGAAAAGUCAGAAAGAAACGCUGCCAACAACAAGGUGUGGUCGUUGACAACGUCGGCACACGUAAACGCACAUGUGUACAUACGCACAUAAACAAACACACAGUUGAAUGUAUAUAAUGUGAAAAAACAGUGCAACCGUACAAUAGGAAAGGACAAAUUGAAACAGAAGUGGCAAACAGUGACUAACGAAGGCGUCCGAACACUUACGUUCGUAAGGUUUCUGUAACAGGUGAAAUACGAGCACCGAAAUAAAGUGUUUAAAGCAAUAUACAUGUAGUACACAUGUAGUAAAGUUGUUAAUUUAAGAGCGCGAUUUAUUUCAUACAAAAUUUAAUACAAGGCUGAAUAAUACGUAGAAGCGGACAUAAAAUGAUUCUUUUCGUUUCUGAGUAAAGUAAAUUUGAAAGUUUAUUAUAAAGUUUUAGACCAAUCGUUAACUAAACAGGAUUCGGCAAGCUUGUUCUCGAGUCACAGCUUAUUACUCUAUGCUGUGGGUAUUACUUGGAUUUUGGAUCAACGAUUUCCUGACAAAUAUAUAUGCCGGGUGGGUAGAUCGUGUUGGCCUUGCAUUUAAAAUCCCUUGUUUACAUAUAAAGGUACGUUGACGUUGUCCGUUGAAACUGUUUGAUCGUCAACGUGGCCAUCAACAAUGUAUAAAUCCGUAUAAGCCGUUGGAAAUAGUUGAACAAUGUACGAUGCGAUGCGAUGCGAU